AUGCUGUCUUUGGCAGCACAUAUACUAAAACUGGAAUAAUACAAAGAAGAUUAUCAUGCUCCCUGCAAUAGUAUGGCCUGCCUAUUUGUUAAGUGUUCUAUAUUUUU
ensembl:snRNA U6 U6 spliceosomal RNA